rnacentral:lncRNA from 1 species
CCAGGCAUCCCAAACAGAAACUAUAGAGGCAGUUGAGGGAUUUUGGAUUUUGAAGUCUCUUAAAGCAGAUGGUACACUCAUCAACCUUCUCAUCAACAUGUUCCAGAAACUGAUUCAACUUACUGGUAGCCUUCUUGAAUUGAUUUCCCGUGAAAUUUAAAUAAUAGGGUCUGAUAGUUUUUAAGAGGAUCAUACAACAAGCAAAGUACUGCAGAGUAGAACAGAACAAGAGAACACAGACGAGGAGGAGGCGGAGCUUAGUAUUUACUGUAUCAUCUGGUUCGCCGAGAUCCAUCAGACAUUUUCAAAUAUGUUUAAGAAAGGUAUGAUCAAAUAUUUGAUUUGUUAGUUAGAAAUCUUUCUUUAUUCUGGAUACUCAGUAUUUUUAGAAAUCUUUCUUUAUUCUGGAUACUCAGUAUUUUUACACUGUUCUUCCCUGAGGUCCAGGGUAUUAUUUGUUUGGUGAUAAGAACUAAUCAUAGGGUCAAUCUUGAGUGAUCAUGAUAUGCAGUUCUCUGUAAUACAUGAUUACACACUAUUGUGUACUGGAUAACAGUAGAACUGUACAAAGCACAGACCCUAUAUACAAUAUAUAGGGUCUGUGUACAAAGUAAGCCACAAAAAUGAAUAGCAAUUAUUAUACUAUACAGACAUUUAUACAGAUUUAGAUGAUCUAUUGUCAAAGUAUACAAUGAAGAAAUAUAAAAUCGAAUUGGUUUUAAUGCAGGUUAACAUUUACAAAUAAAUUUCAACAAAAGCUAAGCUUGCUGUUAAUCAUAUAUAGUAAUAACAAUUAUACUGUACAUACAUAUCAGAUUCAGAUAAUUUAUUGUCAAAGUGUACAUGAAAAUCUAUAAAUUUAUUAGGUUGUAUACAGAUUAAGAUUUAUGAUGAAUGCAAAAAAAUAAGCCAAGCUUAACUACCUAAAUCAUAUACAGUAUAUUCCUUUUUAUGAGGAUGAAAUAAUAAAAUGCUUACAAACCCCCUUUUAAAUAUAUCCCUCUCCCACUAAUUUGAAGCAGAUUAUUUACGCAGAUUCAAGUUUAUAAGAAAAAUUAAAUAUAUACAAGAAUAAUCAAUCUGACUCAUCGCAUCUUAUUCAUUUAAUGGAUGAAUGCCCAUAGGUGUAUUUAUAAUAUACACUCUGUUGUGUGCUUGUUAGGUUUUUUUUAAUACAAAAAACCAGAAAAAAUAUACAGGUACUAAAGAAAGAAUAAACAAACUUGCAAAUAUCAAAAUUUAUGAAAAUCAAAGAGAUACAAGUUGAUAGGCUGUACAAAAAAGCCCCAAUAGAUUGAAAAGUAACAUUUUUAACAUCAAUAUGCAAGAAAAUAACAUGUAUAUGCAUUAUAUGAUUAAGAACUUACACUACAAAAAUAUAAAAUCAUAAGAUCAAUAGUGUGUGAUUCAAAAUUGAUGAGAACUCUACUGUAAACACUAUAGAUAUCAUUUGUGUUGAAUAAUUAAUAUUUUAACAGUUUAAAAAAAAAACAUAACUUCAGCUCUAUGUAUAUUAUAUUCAAUAAUCAAAUAUUUUAACAAGUUUAAAAACAUUAUACUUUAUACAGUCAAU